rnacentral:rRNA from 1 species
AAAUGCGAUACCUGGUGUGAAUUGCAGAAUCCCGUGAACCAUCGAGUCUUUGAACGCAAGUUGCGCCCGAGGCCAUCUGGCCGAGGGCACGCCUGCCUGGGCGUCACACCAAGACACGCUCCCUCCCCCACCACCUAUGGUUGGCGGGUCGGACGCGGAAGCUGGCCCUCCGUGCCCUCGUGGCGCGGCGGACCGAAGUCUGGGCCGCCGGCGUCGUGUGGCCGGUCCCGGCGAGUGGUGGACGUACGCGCUGCUGCUGCGAACGCCGCGGCACGGCCCUCACGCGCAUGGCCCCCCAAACGGACCCAGCCCGUGCGCACGCCGCGCUCGUCGCGGCGGCCUCGGACCGCGACCCCAGGUCAGACGGGACUACCCACUGAGUUUAA